rnacentral:tRNA from 1 species
GGGGGAUUAGCUCAGUUGGGAGAGCGCCGCCCUUGCAAGGCGGAGGUCGAGAGUUCGAAUCUCUUAUCCUCCACUA